AUAUUAUCUAGAGUCCCGACCGGUACCCGUCCUACCUGAAACACCCUCAAAUUUUAUUCGAGGUGAACUCUCCCAAAUUCGAGGUGAACUCUCACAAAUUCUCUAUCUGUGAAUACAUGUGAGUGGAGAAAAAAAAGCAAAAUGGGGGAUUGGGCUAAAAAGAAACUUAUGGAAUUUUUGUGACCUGUCAAAAAUGACAAUCAAUUUUGCAAAACAAAACAAUGGGUUUCGGAUUUUUAGAACCAAAAUUCUUUAUAAUGAAGAGGGUAUAUACAAGUUCACUUCAUUGAAUAAAAAUUAAGUCAAAUUGCAGUGAAGGAGGUGCAACAAUAAUGGAUUUAUUUUAUAUUCUUUCUUUUCAUUUUAGAUAGUGCCAAAAUGCAGGAAACAAUUUCAUUUAAGUAAUUUGGAAAGCAAACCAAACAAGGCGCUGAUUUGCAGGUAAGUUUUUUGUAUAUUAUAUUUCUCUUAACAAAAUAAUAUCAAUGUUUUUAACUACAGAUACUGCCCAUUGUUUUUGUAUGUACUUCUCAACUGCAAUAGCUGCCGCAGGUGUUGACGGCGGAGGUGUCACCAUCAAAACCAUUAGAAACAACACGACCAAGUCAAUGAUGCAAGUGGAAGUUUUGCCAUGUAAUAGUCGACCGCUGACGCCCUUCUCCAUCAAUUGUGUGUAAAGAGUACUACCAGUCUGCAGUUCUGCAAGAGACGCAAACAAAACAAGAAUACAAUCGCAGGAAGACUCCAAAAAAUGUCUAACCCUGACUGUAAGUGAGUUCAAAUUUUAAAUCUACAGUGAAUCCAUUCAUUUUGCUCCUAAGGAUCGCACUGGCUUAACGGUGUCAAUCAUUCGGAGGCAAAUGAGCUGGCCCGACAAGAAUCCCCCAAGAAGCCAAACAGAUUCAGAUCAGUCUCUCGGCAGCUACUGACAAUGUCGGCGAAUUAAAUCCAUCGAUUUUCACACAGAAAAUCAACAUCAAAAAAAUCACGACAAUUCAGCAGCGUCAUGGUCAACCUGCC